GGCGGAACCAGACUUCCUUCCAUUAUCCUGUAUACAGGAUAAGUCCGCAAUCUCUCCCUCCCACAGGAGAAGACUAAGCCUAGUUGUGAGUAAGCCUGCCGUCAAGAUUGAUGAUCUGCACCACCAUCAUGAAGUUCUA